GUGUCAGCCGCCGCGGUAAUACGUAGGGUGCGAGCGUUAAUCGGAAUUACUGGGCGUAAAGUGUGCGCAGGUGGCCGCGCAUGUCGAGUGUGAAAUCCCCGGGCUUAACUUGGGAAUUACGCUCGAAACUACGUGGCUCGAGUGUGGCAGAGGAAGGUGGAAUUCCACGUGUAGCGGUGAAAUGCGUAGAGAUGUGGAGGAACACCGAUGGCGAAGGCAGCCUUCUGGGCCAACACUGACGCUCAUGCACGAAAGCGUGGGGAGCAAACAGGAUUAGAUACCCUGGUAGUCCACGCCCUAAACGAUGAUGACUAGUUGUUGGGGGAGUUAAAUCCCUUAGUAACGCAGCUAACGCGUGAAGUCAUCCGCCUGGGGAGUACGGUCGCAAGAUUAAAACUCAAAUGAAUUGACGG
rnacentral:rRNA from 1 species